rnacentral:rRNA from 2 species
CUUAAGCAUAUCAAUAAGCGGAGGAAAAGAAACCAACAGGGAUUGCCCUAGUAACGGCGAGUGAAGCGGCAACAGCUCAAAUUUGAAAUCUGGCGUAAGCCCGAGUUGUAAUUUGUAGAGGAUGCUUCUGGGUAGCGGCCGGUCUAAGUUCCUUGGAACAGGACGUCAUAGAGGGUGAGAAUCCCGUAUGUGACUGGCUUGCACCCUCCACGUAGCUCCUUCGACGAGUCGAGUUGUUUGGGAAUGCAGCUCUAAAUGGGAGGUAAAUUUCUUCUAAAGCUAAAUACCGGCCAGAGACCGAUAGCGCACAAGUAGAGUGAUCGAAAGAUGAAAAGCACUUUGGAAAGAGAGUUAAAAAGCACGUGAAAUUGUUGAAAGGGAAGCGCCCGCAACCAGACUUUGCGGCGGUGUUCGGCUGGUCUUCUGACCGGUUUACUCGCCGCCGUGAGGCCAUCAUCGUCUGGGACCGCUGGAUAAGACCUGAGGAAUGUAGCUCCCUUCGGGGUGUGUUAUAGCCUCUGGUGAUGCAGCGCGUCUCGGGCGAGGUCCGCGCUUCGGCAAGGAUGAUGGCGUAAUGGUUGUCGGCGGCCCGUCUUGAAACACGGACCAAGGAGUCUAACAUCUAUGCGAGUGUUCGGGUGUCAAACCCCUACGCGUAAUGAAAGUGAACGGAGGUGGGAACUUUUUGUGCACCAUCGACCGAUCCUGAUGUCCUCGGAUGGAUUUGAGUAAGAGCAUAGCUGUUGGGACCCGAAAGAUGGUGAACUAUGCCUGAAUAGGGUGAAGCCAGAGGAAACUCUGGUGGAGGCUCGCAGCGGUUCUGACGUGCAAAUCGAUCGUCAAAUUUGGGUAUAGGGGCGAAAGACUAAUCGAACCAU